rnacentral:rRNA from 1 species
AUUGAACGCUGGCGGCAUGCCUUACACAUGCAAGUCGAACGGUAACAGGUCUUCGGAUGCUGACGAGUGGCGAACGGGUGAGUAAUACAUCGGAACGUGCCUAGUAGUGGGGGAUAACUACUCGAAAGAGUGGCUAAUACCGCAUGAGAUCUACGGAUGAAAGCAGGGGAUCGCAAGACCUUGUGCUACUAGAGCGGCCGAUGGCAGAUUAGGUAGUUGGUGGGAUAAAAGCUUACCAAGCCGACGAUCUGUAGCUGGUCUGAGAGGACGAUCAGCCACACUGGGACGGAGACACGGCCCAGACUCCUACGGGAGGCAGCAGUGGGGAAUUUUGGACAAUGGGCGAAAGCCUGAUCCAGCAAUGCCGCGUGCGGGAAGAAGGCCUUCGGGUUGUAAACCGCUUUUGUCAGGGAAGAAAAGCUCUGAGCUAAUACCUCGGGGUAAUGACGGUACCUGAAGAAUAAGCACCGGCUAACUACGUGCCAGCAGCCGCAGUAAUAC